CAAGCCGUUCUAUCGCCGUAUCUUAAUGGUAAGGAGGAAAGUCCGGGCAACAUAGAGCAUCUCGCUUCCUAACGGGAAGGCGUUUAGGAUUGAAAACCUAAGUGACGGAAUAGUGCCACAGAAAAUAUACCGUCCCAACUUUACGUCGGGAUAAGGGUGAAAACGUGAGGUAAGAGCUCACGAACUCGCUAAGCGAUUAGUGUUUUGGUAAACCCCGGGAGUUGAAAGACCAAAUAGGCUAACGCAUGUAGGGCUGCUCGUCCGAUGUUAUCCUCCUUUUCGCUAUAUCUAUUUUUGUCGACGACUUGUCCCGACCAUUCGGGAAGCUCAGGAUGACAAAAAUAGGAUACCGCUUCAAUUAGGGCUAUUUAA
rnacentral:RNase_P_RNA from 1 species